UGGAGACAAUUUGAGAUAAGUUGUUUCAUACCAUUUCAUUGCUUUUAUAUCAGUUAUUUUCAUGUUUACCUUUUGCUUUUUGCUGAAGCUUCUUUAUUUUGAUUUUUAAUUUGCUGACCGUUCAGGAUGAAUGGAUGCCCAGCAAUAAAGCAUACUAAUUCUUUCUGGUAGGAAUAUUUCCGGAAGAGCAAUAUAAAUAACUAUACUAUAAUCCAUUUUGCUGCUCUGCUAACACCACAGUACAGUAAAUACUGGGAGGGAAAACUGAUGAAACUCCACCUCCUUUUUCCUGUCUCCCGACUGAUUAAAAGCCUUCAUUGAUUUUAAAGCAUCUCUUUAAAGAAACCAUCAAAACCAGAUAGAUAGCAGGUUUUUGUUUUGUUUUUUUAAAGAUUUUGAGUGGAAUGACUUUUCCUGGAUAAUUUUUUUAAAACCCCAGGUAAACUCCAAGUCUUCGUUUCCUUAUAUCAGAUGCAGUUUUUUAAAAAAAGGCUGGGAAAUAGCUUAUCUUGAAAGUAUAUGGCAAGCAAUGUAUAUAACAGUAGUUAGUAUAUGUAUUCUGUGUAGCUAGGUUAUCAUUGUGCAUUCGCUUUUCUGAGAGAUGGUUUCUAUUUUGUGAAAGCAUAUUUUGCUCUUGGUAGCCUCUGUUUGAGAACAAAGCUUUUGACAGCCAAGAAAGAUGUCUUGCAUGGAGGAAGCAGGCAGCAAUACUGUUUUCUUGAUCAGAGAUUCUGAGCUGAAUGCAAACCUUUAUCCUGCUUUGUAAGAACUCGCUUGCCAGCUUUUGUGAUUUAGCCAUACGCAAGGCUGGUUAAUGUCUCUGUGGUAGUUAUUGUUCAGUGUUAGUAAAUGAUUAUAAUGGUAUUGAAUAUCGUAUUUGUCUUUAACAACGUUGUAAGAGGGAAACACUGUGCUUAGUAAUCAAAGCGGCUAAUUUAAUAGGAAUGAACCAGGGACUAUGGGGAUUUUUGGAAAACAAAUGUUAUAUAGUCUGUAAUCUAUUUUAAUUUGACAAUUUCAAAAUUGGAUCAGUGGAGUUUUGCAAGUAAACCCCUUUGAGAUAUGAUUACUGGCUGGGUUAAUUAUUGUUGCUUUAAAAAAAACAGUCUGCAAAUUAGGUUGCCAGUUUGUAUAUUUUAUUAGGUUGUCAGUUUGUAGAUUUAAUAAUAUUACUGGUCCAGAAUUUGAACAGCUAAUUUGAAAGAUUCUAUUGUCAAUAUGUGUCAUAAUACUGCUGAUGCAAGGCUCUGUGAUGCUUUGUGACAGCAUGGGAAGUAUCUGUAUCCAUUUGCAAUUAUCACAGUUAAUGCAUGUCUCAGCAGGUGGCAACACCUCACUCACCUUAGCUCAGAAAUAUUGGACCUGGUAGUAUGUGGAUAGGAGACCACCAGCGAGUACAUUCAAGGCUAGACAGGGAAAUUGAAAAAACUUCCUGUAAGUAGACAGUAGCGAACCACACCUAUACUGUUGCCAUUACUUAAUGUUUCUACUAAGUUACCAGCAAUCAACCUGACUUAAAAGAGACUUCACUUUUAUCUUUGCCUGUUAAAGCAUCGAAGUGAAUUACUGUAGAUACACUGAGUAGUAGAGGGAUGCUGUGAACUAAUUUGAUUUAAAGUAAUUUUUUUUUAGAAGAAACAGAGGAAGCAUAUUCUUUCCUAGAAAAACACCAUUCCAGUUACUCUUGUCUUUAAAAUCGUUCACUAGAUAAGGCAUUAUAAAUCUUCCACUUUCUUUCAAUUAGUAACAGCAAAGAUUUUUGUAUUGCAUAAGAUGAUCUUUUUUUAGCUUUAGAAGCUUUAGAGCUCAAAUAAAUUUGAGCUGAGUUAGAGAUCAUAUGCUUUUUAAAUGUCAGUUCCAGUAUCUUCAGGCAAAACUAGAUAGGGUGUCUGUGUCGGAUUUUAGAGAAGUGCCACUCAGGGCAGAAAAUACUGAUCUAAAUAGACCCAUGAUCUGACUUGAUAGGAGCAAGAUCUUGGCUAUUAUUCAAAUGAAAUAAUAUGCUCUUUACAUCCUACAUUUUAUGGUUUAUUUGGGCAUUAGUGUAGUGUCUUGCUUCUCUUACCUUAUCCUCUGUCUUCAAAAUCCUCUUUUUAUUUUAUUCAUAGGUUAUUCAACAGGACACUAUAUACUAUGCAAUAAAAUAGGUAGACUUCAAAACAAGAAAAAUCAAUCUAUAUUAUGGUUUCCCCUCAAAAAACCUACAAGGCAUGGCAGCAUUCUGAGCAGAGAGUCUCCAGCAGACAAGAAGCAGAAGGUCGAACGCUGCAUUAGUGCCCAUGAUUUUGACCCAACAGAUAGCUCCUCCAGGAAGACAAAGUAUAGCUCAGAGGAGAGUAGAUCCGAGACAUAUGGUCUAGUUCAACGAUGCGUUAUUAUUCAGCGGGAUGAAAAUGGAUUUGGGUUAACAGUCAGUGGUGACAAUCCAGUCUUUGUACAAUCUGUCAAGGAAGAUGGAGCAGCCAUGCGGGCUGGGGUUCAAACUGGUGACCGAAUCAUUAAGGUGAAUGGAACUCUGGUAACACAUUCCAACCAUUUAGAGGUGGUUAAGCUGAUAAAGUCGGGUUCCUAUGUAGCGCUCACUGUGCAGGGGCGCCCACCUGGGUCGCCCCAGAUUCCACUGGCCGAUUCUGAGGUGGACUCAGCUGCCUUUGGGCAUAUGUCUCCCAUCAUGACCUCACCUCACUCCCAUGGAUCCUAUGGAAACACAGAGAGAAUUACCAGUCCAGUGCUGAUGGGGGAGGAAAAUAACAUUGUUCACAACCAGAAAGUAGAGAUUUUGAGGAAGAUGCUGCAGAAAGAACAGGAACGACUUCAGUUCCUGCAGGAAGACUACAGCCGCGCUCCGGCUCCCCGACUGCUCAAAGAAAUCCAGGAAGCCAAGAAGCAUAUUCCUCAAUUGCAGGAGCAGUUGUCCAAAGCAACAGGCUCUGCUCAGGAUGUCGUUUUGUCUUCCAAAUCUAUAUCCGAAUCUUUGCAGAUCACUGAGGUGGAAGCUGAGAGGGGGGAUGGGCCAAACAAAGGAGAUUGUCAUUUUGGUGAUGGCCCCCAGGUGAAUGACACAGCGGAGAGUCCUCGCAGUGUCUUGAAAGAGCACAGCUAUCUGGAUGACAGCCCAGAGAAGACUGAGACUCAUGAAACAGAUUCUCCAUCCAGCCUUGGAAGCCCUUCCUCUCGUGUGGCACCUCCAAUCAUAGGAGCAGAAGAUGAUGACUUCGAUGGUGAACAAGAACAGAUCAACGGGCAAUGUAGCUGUUUCCAGAAUAUUGAGUUACUGAAAUCACGACCCGCUCACCUGGCUGUCUUUUUGCAUCACGUUAUUUCCCAGUUUGACCCGGCUUCUUUGCUCUGUUACCUGUUUGCGGACCUGUACAAACAAACAAAUUCCAAAGAGACUCGCCGAGUGUUUGCUGAAUUUAAUCAAUUUUUUCUGGAUCGAGCUGCAAAUCUAAAAGUCCCAGUUCCAGAUGAAAUUGCAAGUGAUUUAGAAAAGAGAAGGCUGGAAUUAAUUCCUGAAGAAUUGCACCGCCACUGUAUUCAAGCUAUGCAAGAAAAAGUGUUUCUCGAAGUACAAAAGCACCUUGAAGAUUUUAGACAGAAACGCAGCAUGGGUCUCACGCUGGCAGAAGGAGAGCUGACCAGGCUGGAUGCAGAACGUGUUCGGGACCGGAUGACCUUAGAGAAGGAGAGAGCGUGCGCAGAGCAAAUCCUGACUAAAAUUGAAGACGUGCUGAUGUCAUCUCAGCCUAUAGAAGAGGAUAAGAGUUCAGCUAUACAGUAUGUUGUUCUCACCUACAUGAAGCACCUUGGUGUACGUGUUAAAGAACCCCGGAACCUCGACCAAAAACGGGGACGGAUUGGAUUCCUGCCAAAGAUAAAGCAAAGUAUGAAGAAAGAUAAGGAAGGGGAUGAAAAGAAGAGGAGAGUCUUCUCAAAUAUCCUGGGACCUCCAAGGAGGCCGAGCCGCCAUGACAGUUAUGCAAUAGGCAGAGCCAUGGAGAUACAAAAACUACGCCAUCCAAAGCACUUAUCUUCCUCGUCUUCGGUCAGCCCGGAACCGCCAGAUGUGGUCAAGUUGCGUCAAAGUGGGAUCAGUGAUGGCAUGGAUUCAGCCUUCCAGCCUGCUAACUUGGUAUCUCCAGCAGUUUCCGGAACGUUCCCAUCUCAGGAAGGGAGCAAAGAUGGCGAAACGGGGCCAAAACAAGUUGGAGAAGCAAUUAAUCCUGGUGAUUCUGUGGACGGCACACCUUGUACACCUAGCGUCAUAUUUGAUUUCCCAUCUCCUCCCCUGGAUCAUUUGCAAGAAGAAGAAGGAGAAGUUGAUAGGUUAGGAGAAUCAGGGACUCCAAAACCUUUCCGCAAGGUGGACAGUGUGAGUGCUGGGGAUGUCCACAGUGAAGAUGAGCUCUUCGAUUUCGACAUGGAGACCGACCAGCCCAACUGGCAGCAGCUGGUGAGCCGUGAAGUGUUGCUUGGCUUGAAACCAUCUGAAAUUAAACGCCAGGAAGUGAUUAAUGAAUUAUUCUACACUGAACGUGCUCAUGUCCGUAAGCUGAAAGUCCUGGAUCACUUGUUCUAUCAGCGUGUGUCUCGCGAAGGGAUUCUGACAGCUCCUGACCUGCGGAAAAUAUUUUCGAACCUGGAGGAUAUCCUCCAGCUUCAUACUGGACUGAAUGAGCAGAUGAAAGCAGUGAGGAAAAGAAACGAGACAUCUGUAAUUGAUCAAAUUGGAGAAGAUUUGUUAACUUGGUUCAGUGGAGCAGGCGAGGAGAAAUUGAAGCAAGCCACGGCUACCUUCUGUAGCAACCAACCUUUUGCUCUUGAGGUGAUCAAGUCACGGCAAAAGAAGGACUCUCGCUUCCAGACUUUUGUCCAGGAAGCUGAGAGCAAUCCGCUGUGUCGCCGAUUACAGCUAAAAGAUAUCAUUCCCACUGAGAUGCAACGGCUCACCAAGUAUCCCCUCUUGCUGGAUAAUAUUGCAAAGUACUCAGAGCAACCUUUAGAGAAGGAAAAAGUGAAGAAAGCAGCAGAUCAUUGUCGGCAGAUUCUCAAUUUUGUGAACCAAGCUGUCAAAGAAGCCGAGAACAAGCAGCAUUUGGAGGACUACCAGCGGCGGCUUGAUUUGUCCUACCUGAAGCAGGUGGAGGGCCCUUUGCUGGAUGAAUUCAGGAAUUUAGAUCUAACGAAGAAGAAAAUGAUUCAUGAAGGGCCUCUGACUUGGAAGGUGAAUCGUGACAAAACUAUUGAUCUCUAUACAUUGCUCUUGGAAGAUAUUCUGGUAUUGUUGCAGAAGCAAGAUGACAGACUGGUGUUGAGAUGUCACAGCAAGAUCCUGGCUAAUACAGCUGAUAGCAAGCACACAUUUAGCCCUGUUAUUAAAUUAAACACCGUCUUGGUUCGCCAAGUGGCUACAGAUAAUAAAGCAUUCUUUGUCAUUUCCAUGUCGGAGAAUGGAGCCCAGAUUUAUGAACUGGUGGCACAGACAGUUUCUGAAAAGACAGUAUGGCAGGACCUCAUAGUACGGAUGGCAGGAACCGUCAAAGUUGGAAGAGGCAGAAAUGUAAUUCCAUUGCCACAAUCGGGACCAUGCGAGGAGGACCAUGAGGAAGAAGAUGACCAGCAUAAAUUGAAGGAAGAACAGACGAGCCCAGAUAGCAGCAAACAAAGUCCAGAUAAAGAUUUGGGGCUGAAGACUCCGUCUCCUUCAGUGACCAUGUCUGAGAAGUCAGAAGAGGAAGAACUUCUGGAAGCCAACAAGCAGUUUGGAGAAAAACUACCAACAGACUUACUGAUCAAAGAGUCACCGGAACAUUACAGCCAAAGUAGUCCAGAGCUCUUAUUCCAAACAUCAGAAAAUCGAUGGGCGUUGGAUGCACUAAGAAACUUGGGUUUAUUGAAGAAAUUACUGAUGCAGCAGCUUGGCAUGUCUGAACAAGCGUCCCUUGAAGACUGGCAUCCUUUUUCUGACCAUAGAAGAGAUCUGCCAGGGGCCCCUGAGGAGAACAUUGUCAAGAGAGGACUUCAGUACUCGGAUAACGAUGACACUACCCUGUCUGGGCCUGAAAGGACACCCACGGGGACAAAAACAAAUGACUUUGAACUUAGUUGUGAUAAAUGGCCUUCGAACGAAUUGGUAUCACCAGGGGACCCUGCGUUGCAUAGCAGGCAGUUGAUGGACCCCUUGAGAACAAAUCCAGAGCCCACAGCCAAGGAACUGGAAGGAGGAACCAGUGCUGCGGAUGAUGGUGGGGAGCACUUUUUUGAUGCUCAGGAAGCUCACGGUGAAGAGAACCCAUCAGAAGGUGACGUGGUAGAUGGGAAGGAGGUAGAAGAGGUGCAGCUACGGAUCUCAGGAAAUUAUUUGAUCCUUGAUGGAUAUGGCACAGUACAGGAGAGCUCCACCGACGAAGAGGUACCUUCGCUCGUUCUACAGUGCACUGCAGACAAAAGCACAAUGGACUCUGCCCACCAGCAACCCAGGUCUCGGGAUGGCCAGCCAGUGACAGCCAGCUCACCCUUGGCAGAGGAAUUGCUGGCCUCCCACUGGCAAGCCGCCAAGGAAUCCAGUUCAGAUGCGUUACGGGCUUCCUUCUCCGUCGAGUCGCGUACCCUGAUGAUGCGUUAUAUCCAGAACAUAGAGGCCAGCCUUCAGCGUUUGAAGGAAGUGGAGGAAAACUACGCUGCUCUUCAGCAUCGGCUGUCUGGCUCCAUCACCACAGAUGAGCAUUCGGAUAAAAGUUAAUCACCUUCUUGCCAAUCGCUGGAGAUUGGACGGAGCCUUCUGCCUUGAGUCAGCCUCUGCUAGCCUCAGCCGGCCUCUGCCUGGACUCUCUUGGCCUUAGGCCUCUUUCAAUGGACCCUUAAUCGGGAGGGGGCUCCACAUAGUGGAGAAGGGGGCAGUUUUUUUCCUUUGAGGUGUCUGCACUAGCCUUUCAGGGAGAGGGGGGGUGAUUUUAGUUCCCCUCCUCUUGCUACCAGAAAUUCUUUUUGAUUCCAAACAGAGGAAAAAAGAGGAACAGAAAGAAGAAACCAAAUGUAUAAAGUUCUGGGUGUAGGAUAUAUAAAAAAAAAUGUAUCUAUACAUUAAAAAAAAUCAAUGUAUUUAUUUGACUUCAUUCCGUGUACUGAAAGCACACUUUAACUUGUAUUUUAUUUUGCUUUAAAAAAAAAAAAAGAUAGUGCCAGUUUGCUAGGUUCCCAGCAUCUUUCUUCUUCUCCUGAACCCCUUACUCUGAACUGAGGUGUGUGUGUGUGUAUGUGUGUGUCUGUCUUGAUUUUCCCACUGGAUUCUGCCAACAAUAAGUCUGUUCCUCAGAAAGGUCUUUUUGUGUGUGUGUGUGGAGCGAAAUCUAGCAGCAGGCAGGUGGCCUUUCUUGUGCACUACGUAGCCAGGGAAGGAUUUCAAACUGGCAACCAAAUUUCUCUUUGGGUGGGGAAUGCCUCUAUUUUUCCUGUAUUGAAUUAAAGAGAGAGAAGGAUCAGAAUUUGGGAGCUGUGUUCCCUGCCCAGGUACUGAUUUUAUGGUGAUUUCCCUUGGAAAGCAACAGCUCGAUAUUUGUAGCUUGGGAUGGGAGGGUAAAGCAGCAAUACACUUGUCAGAAAUUCCUGAGGCCCCCAUGUUUCUAAUGAACUGCGAGGAGGAACUGCUGCAGAAGUUAGCCACUACGUUUGGAAAGUAAGCGCCAGAAUUGUUCAGUAUCCAGAAGUGUGCCUUACUGACCGGUGUGGGGUAGUAGACCGAGCGAGACCUAGCUUAGAAUAGUGCUAUUUUGUUUUUCCUUUUUAUGCAAAAAAAUGCUCUGAAAUCACACCAGGAACAUCUACAGUAGGAAGAAUCAUAGGAACAGACACCAACUCUGGUAUAAUAAUCUCAACGCAGGGCUGAUAUCCUGAUGGAGCUCUCCCUUUUCAAGCUUUAUGGCAUUGAGGUAGAAAAUGAAGACACUGGGUGGGUUGUCUGCUUUGGGCAGUUUUUCCAUUCAGGAUACAUCUCACUUGGGGGAAAAAAGUUUCUCCCAGUAGCAGCUGUGCAAUCCUUGGGCCCUUUCUUUUUCCUGGCAAGCCAGCUCUAAAUGUGCCAAAUUCUAGCAAUCCCUUUCAUGUUUUAAAACCAUGCUGAAUGCACUGUAGAGUGUGGAGUAUCUUCCUCCUCCUCCUCCUCCUCCUCCUCCUCCUCCUCCUCCUCCUCCUCCUCCUCCUCCUCCUCCUCCUCCUCCUCCUCCUCCUCCUCCUCCUCCUCUCCACCACGAGUGUCAUAGAAUAUGCUCCAUUAAUGCAGAAAAACAUUUCCCCCCCCCAUUGCCAGGAAUCCAGAUUCAUUUCCACUUACAGGGAAGAGCUGUAAGAGCAGGAACUAUUUUUGAAUUUCCCCCCACCCCACCUCCUUUCCCUAAUCUUUCCAAUCAAAAGUACUGGCGCAUAUCGAAAGCAGGAACUUCCUACUUGUCUGGGUCACAAAGUAUUUGGGUCUGAAGCCACCAAACACUCAAAAGGAAUUCUUUUCGGUUUCUUGCUAUCGGGGCCCAGCCUGCUGAUUCUCGGUUCUAAAUCCCUCCCUCCUAAAAUUCCAAGCAAUUUCCCAAAUGGAAAAUUUAUGUUCAGAAGAUCAGACCUAUAAAAAUAUUCCCCUAUUUUUCAAAGGUGUUUUUAGUCACUUCUGAGCGAGAUGGGCAGCAAAGACUUCUAGCAAAUGCUUUUUCUCCUUGAUCCCAGAACACACGUUCCCACCUUCCCAUGCUUCAGUUCCACAUCCGUGAAGCCAUGGGAAGUCGGAUCCAGAUGUAGACCUUUCCCUAAUACAGGGAAGUAGGUGAAGGAGCCAGAAAUCGGUAAAUUCUUGUUGACACUUGGAUGCCACUCUUUACAGAUAUUGUGGCAAGACCAGUAUCUGAUCCUCUGCCAUACCUCGGCCACAGGGUGCUUCAGCAUCCUGAAAAAGAGAUAUCAGGUCAGGAUAUGCCAAAGGGUUUGCCAAGCAGCUGAAGGGCCUGUUUGACCUCUAAAGAGGACAGAUCAUUUGCCUUUCUCCCACCCCCCACCCCCCUUCCUGGAGAGCAAAGCAGAGUAUCAUGUUCUUGUCUUCCUAGCGGUUUCUUUGUAUCGUAUGAGUGUGUGUGUGUGUGUUUUGUCCAGGCUUCUCUAGGCCACCUAUUAUACAAUCUCCUGUUAAGGGCAUUAUUAUUUUAUGAUAAGAAAGAGAAAGUAGUGAGAAAUGGGGAUUACCAACUGCUAUAGCAUCAUAACUAUAUGCGAUAGUAGACUAUCGCAGGAGAUGUCCCUUGCACAUCUACUGUACAACAGGCCCCGAACACCGAUCCGUUUUUAUGAAAAGGGUCAACCCUAAAAAAUGCACUUUGUGGGAUUCCCAUUGGUGUUCAACUUUUGGAUCCUUAAUGUUCUAGAACAGCCAUGAGGAAUUCCAGCCAAAGAGACCUUCCCUGUCCUUCCCUACUGGCUGUGAUCAUGUCUUCCUUGGGCCCAUCUUUUUUCUUUCCUUCCUUCCCUUCCCUUCCCUUCCCUUCCUUCCUUUUCUCAUUCUCACCACCCACCCACCCUUGGCUAGCUGAAAAUAAUAUAAGCAAUGAAAGGCUUUUUUUUAAACCAGAGAAUAUUAUGUUGUUUAUGCUACCAUCAUAUUUAGAACGUCUUUGUUUUUAACUUGGAUUUAUUGGACUAGCAUAUUAGAAUUUGGGCUCAAGAAGGCAAACUCUGAAUCUAAAGACAGCUUCCUUCCUUCUUGGUUUGCAUGUCCUUUGACUGUACACCCAAGACUAGGUUUAUAACUUUGGCGAGUUUAAGACAUGUGGAUUUUUAACUCCCAGAAUUCCCCAGCUGGCAUUGCUGCUGGGGGAUUCUGGGAGUUGAAGUCCACACGUCUUAAAAGUGGCCAAGGUUCAGAAACAUUGCCCAAGAUGAAGAGAGUUGGAGGAUUCUGAUGGGAUGGUGGAUUGCUUGGCCUUAGGGUUGUCCCGAGCCAUCAGAAGUUAUACAAUUCAUUAAAAGGAUUCUGCUUUCCAAUCCUUCCAUCUUUUGCAGCAAUGGUGCUUUAAUCUGCCAGAGGCCGCUCAUUAGCUCUGACUUCUCCACUUCUUACUUUCCAGUUGACUAAAUCAGCACUGAACAGCCACGUCUCAAGGCCUGGCAGACUGUGAAGCCCGUGUUCCAUUCUUUAAAUGUUUCUCCCAUGGCCCUGCCGAUGGUUGAAAGAGGCUGAAAAUAAGGAUUCCCAGUCCUGCCUUGGAGACCCCUGACCUGGGUCAUUCUAACCCCUCAACGCUCUACCAGCUCCUCUGUGUCUUCCUUUGGUGGCUAUGUAGAUGCUAUCUCGUCACUGAUUCACUACGUGACGAAUCAAAGUCAGAUUGUCUUCCCUCGUUUUUUUUUGGGGGGGGCAUUUAUGUUUUGCAUAAUAGUCCUGACUGUUGUGCCCGAGUUCCUCCCAGAAAAUAUUGAUAGCUUCUGAGAAAAAGGAGACCCUGAACAACUAAAGUGCAAAGAGAGGUUGCCUAGGUGAAAGACCCAUACAGUAUUAUCUUUUACUCUGCCAUAUGUCAGGAGAACUUUUUUUGGUUUCAGUAGAAAAAAACCCUACUUUAUUGAUGCUCUUUCCUCAUUUAGAAUCUCAAUGCCGGUUGUACAUUUGAUGAGUGACUUGCAUCUCCCUCUUCCUCUCUCUCUUCCAUUCCAAAGAAAUCCCUACUUGCUCUUGUUCCCCUCUUCACACACACACACACACACACACACAUCGCACCAAUUUAUAGGCAGAUGCUGUGGAAAAGGAUUCUGCAGCUGGAAUGUUACUCUGCUCUUCUGUUUUUUUUUUCUUUUUUAAAAAAUGGAAUUGUUUGUUGUAAUGCUCUAACUGCUAGAACUGUAUUUUAUUUGCUUGCCAUGCAUUUACUCCUUUUAACAGAUUCUGCUUUUAAGGAAAAACACAAGACACCAAUCUGAAAAUACUCUUUGAAAGGAAAAUGCAAAAACCAACCAACCAACCAACCAACAAAAGGACAACAACAAUAAGACAGAUCGAAUAUCCUGUAUUUUUAACUGAUCAUGUUUGAAUGUCUAAGGAAAAAAAAAAGAAUUUAUUGUUCUAAUUAUCCAGAUGUAUGUAUGUUUGUAAAAUAGCUCUUAUUAGCUGAUAAGGUUGUAUGUUUUUGGAACAAAAUAUUGAUCAUUAAAAAAGUAUUGAGUUU